CUCUUACGAAGAAACCGUUCUACGGAAGCCCAGUUGAGACAACUUGAGACAGGAUUCAGAAACGCUGAUUUUAGUAACCUUAACCCUCGGCCUUUGGUGGGAACUUCGGCUCUGUGGGAAUUAGUCUUUGCGGGACUGAUGGUGAUGCUGAAAUCUUAUUGCGUAGGAAAUUAAGUACAACAAAGAAGACCCGUCGUGAGAGGAGAGUGCGGAAGAAAUGCGAAGUCUACGGGAGGUGGCAGCUGCAGAAGCUUGGUGUUGGAUUUGGAGUUAGGAGACCGGGAGGAGCCCAGCUUCCGGUCCAGACGGUUAUCUUGUUGACUUGCACGACUGCAAACGCCCUGAGCUGCUUUUGCAGUCUGAAACAUCAGCGAUCCCAUCAAAAUAUUCUGUUUCUUGGGAUAUAAGAAACAUCCCAAGGCGGGCUGUAGAGCGAGAGAUUUGGACUCGAUUUAAAUACAGACAAAAUAGUAUGCAUUUACUAACACCACAUCUCACCCCCACGAAACUUGGUAAGGGCAGCAACAGAACUUUAUCUGCCAUAUGCACUCCUGUAUUCCUAUUACCAAAUAGUGCCAGGGACUAAGUGAAUAUUUGCCCAAUGAAUGAGUUUUAAGUAGGAAACGUUUGCAUAGAAUCAUUUUGUUUCUUUUGGAGUUCAAAUCUUCGGAUAUUUUACCCUUCCCAAUCCAAAGAAAAGUCUCUGAGUGAAGAGAUGGGAACAAAAUGUAAGUUAAAUAUGUUGCUUUAACAACUGUUUAUUGAACUCGUGCUAUAUACUGUAGAAUGAUGAGCAAAACCAGGCACAGUUUCGGCCCUGGAAGAGGAAAGGCAGGCAUAUAUUUAUCAACCCAGAAGAUCCAUGAAGGCAGGACUGUAUCCCGAUCGCCACUGUGACACCUAGACAGUGCUUGGAGCGCACUCGGGCAUCUAAAAAUGUUGGUUGAACAAAUAUAUCAACAUCAAAAGCAAAAUAAACACAUUAGUAGGAAAGGAGUGCAUAAAAGUAUGGCUGUCCAAGGCAAACAAAAUGCAAACAGGAUUGCCAAUGUAAAUCUCAGCAGAAUUCAAGGCUAAACUCUUCAGAAGAAGAUUCCCUUUAAACGAAACACCAUAUGACCUACAGAAGAUCUAAGGUGUGAAUCUUUAUACACCAAAUAACAAAGCACGCAAAGUAAACCCAUGGUAGUGGUAAACUUCAAUUUUCUUCUCUUCCAAGCACAGAGAGAAGGCAAUAACGAAUAUAUUAAUCAAUACAUUCACACAUUCAAGCAUCCUAAAUAAAACUAAUGAAGUCAAAGUAACAGACGUAUCUAUCAAACUCUACACCCUACAAACAGUGACCACCCUUACUCAGUGGGAGGCUGCAUAGGAUGGUGUCUAACACUCUAGAAUUCAAAGUCUUGGACCUAGCUCUGGCCCACCAUUGGAGGUGAGGGAGACAGUACCCUGGGAUAAUUACUCAUCUUUCAUGAGCCUGGUUUCAUGUUGUUCUAAGAAUCAGGAGAUAAUCCACAUGCAGAAAUUACCACUGUGUCCUGACAAUUUGUGCUGACUGAGCAAACUACUAGUACUACAUUAUUAUCAAUACUUGACUACAUUCAUGGCAUACAUUUAAAAUGAUUUUAUAUUGGACCACAAAGAUAAAUUAUUAGAAUUCCCUAGGGCAGAAAUUAUAAAGGACUCAUUUUGAUGUAGCAAAAGGAAAAAAGUAAAAAUAACAAAUACAAACCAAAAAACCUAAACACGUGUGGAGUUAAAAGCACUUCUCCUGGGCAUGGUGGCUCACGCCUGUAAUCCCAACACUUUGGGAGGCCAGGCAGGCAGUGACUUCCCCGCCCACGCCCGCGCUGAUUACUUGAGGUCAGAAGUUCAAAACCAGCCUGGCCAACAUGGUGAAAUGCCAUCUCUACUAAAAAAUACAAAAAUUAGUCAGGCGUGGUGGUGGGCGCCUGUAAUCCCAGCUACUUGGGAGGCUGAGGCAGGAGAAUCGCUUGAACCCAGGAGGCGGAGGUUUCAGUGAGCCGAGAUCGUGCCACUGCACUCCAGCCUGGGCAACAGAGCGAGACUCCGUCUCAAAAAUAAAUAAAUAAAUAAAAUAAAGCACUUCUAAACCUUAUACAUCAUAUUAAAAAAUAAAAACUUUGGCCGGGUACAGUGGUUCACACCUGUAAUCCCCAGCACUUUAGGAGGACAAGAUGGAAGGAUCACUAAGGCCAGGAGUUCAAGACCAGCCUGGCCAACAAAGUGAGACCCUGUCUCUAAAAAAAAAAAAAAAAAAAAAAAAAUUUAAUUUAGCCAGGCAUGGUGGCAUGUACCUGUAGUCCCAUUCCAGUCUGGGGAACACAGUGAGACCCUAUUUUUUUUAGAGUGAGUCUCUAAAAAUAAUAAUAAUAAAAAAUACAUAAAAGAAACAAAAGGAAAAAUAAAAGGGAAAGGGAAAGAAAUAAAGCAUCCCUAAAUCACAAUCGUGUAAGUAACACAGAUGCAAACUUAUGAGAUAUUCUCUGUCUUUAAUGAUUGCACACUGAACACUUGACACUCACUUUUCUGAACCCUCUAGAGUCUCUAAAAUACAAGCUCUUUUUAUUAAAUGAUAAUUGGAAACAAAAAGGAGGGCUAAAAGUGGACUAGAAAGUUUGAGAAAAUCUCAGAUGACAUGCACAAAUAGAAUUAAGACUGACAGAGAAUCAACAAAGGAAUCCCCUGUCUAAGAACCACAGGUAGACAGACGUUCCCAAGGAAGCCUCAGGGACUUGGAAUAAACUAAGACAAAAAGAAAGAAUGAGCCACAGGACAAUAAUCAGAUUAAACAACUGCACAAGGAAAAAUUGUGUCCUUGUACAAGGAACAGCAGAGCCAAUCAGGUCCUGUCUCUUUUCCAUCUCCCUUCCCUGGUACACAGAAUAAACCCUGCAGCCCUGGCCUCCUGGGUAAAUGUGGAAAAUCAUUCCUACAGUGAGCAAUCCACCUUGCUCACUGGAUGGAUGGAUGUGGGAAGCAGCAACUGUGGUCCUCCAGAUACCGAAGCGGGGAAGGGAAUAAAUGAGGAAAGCCAGUUCCACUGCAAAGAAAAACCCACCCUGGCAAUUGCAGAGGCCUCCAGCCUGCCUACUGAUCUUCAGCCAGCUGGAAUCCCAAAUUAAAGUCAACCAGUCAACAGGCCUCACCUACCCACAUACCAGCCCUUUCUUUAAAGGAGAAGCUAUUGGAGAAAGAGACUUAGGCAAGAAUAAAGGAAACUCCUAUUGCCAACUUCUAUACCAAUCAAUUUAAUCAUUUAUUCAUAAUAUAAAUGAAGAACCAGAGAUCACCAGGCAUUUGAGAAAUAAACAGCAUUAAAAAGCAGGACCAUGAUGAAAAAGAAGUGACCUGCAAGUUCAAGAGAUAAGAAUACAAUGUUCAUAAUCCUAAUUUUGUUCCCUUUUUUUCAAAGUCCAGGUUCCAGGCUUAUAUUAUAUAAUCCUAAUGUUUAGCCUUAAAUAUUAAUAACAAUAUUUAAUUCUAAAUUCUGCUCCAAGAUGAGGAUUUUUAUAAUCCUAAUAUUUAUCCUCAAAUUCAAAAGUAUAUUAUACACCAAAUAUAGGCAGCUAGGAAAAAGGACCAAUCAGAGAAAAAGAAAAUGAACAAAAACUUUCAAAUAUGAUUGUUGAAAUUAAAAAAUUAACUGGAAAUCCUAAAUAAUAAAAUGAGUGGGGAUAAAUAUCAAGUUUGAGAGCUCAAAGAUAAAGUCAAGGAAGAGCAAUAAAAGAAGAAAGUUUGCAUGGACACAAAGAGGGAACAAUCGACACGGGGGCCUAUUUAGGGUGGAGGGUGGGAGGAGGGAGAGGAUCAGAAAAAAUAACAAUUGGUCCUUACCAAGCUUAGUGCCUGGGUGACCAAAUAAUUCAUACAACAAACCCCCAUAACAUGAGUUCACCUAUAUAACAAACCUGCAUGUGUACCCCUGAACCUAAAAUAAAAGUUUAACAAA